AUUGAACGCUGGCGGCAGGCCUAACACAUGCAAGUCGAGCGGCGCGGCGGACGGGUGCGUAAGGCCUAGGAAUCGGCCUGGUAGUGGGGGAUAACGUCCGGAAACGGGAGCUAAUACCGCAUACUAACAGAUUAGCCUAGGUCGGAUUAGCUAGUUGGUGGGGUAAAGGCCUACCAAGGGGACGGGCCGUAACUGGUCUGAGAGGAUGAUCAGUCAAACUGGAACUGAGACACGGUCCAGACUCCUACGUGUGGCAGCAGUGGGUAAUAUUGGAAAAUGGGCGAAAUCCUGAUCCAGCAAUGCCGCGUGUGUGAAGAAGGUCUUCGGAUUGUAAAGCACUUUAAGUUGGGAGGCGUUACCAACAGAAUAAGCACCGGCUAACUUCGUGCCAGCAGCCGCGGUAAUUC
rnacentral:rRNA from 1 species